rnacentral:rRNA from 1 species
UGAGGAAUAUUGGUCAAUGGACGAGAGUCUGAACCAGCCAAGUAGCGUGCAGGAAGACGGCCCUAUGGGUUGUAAACUGCUUUUAUAAGGGAAUAAAGUGAGAGUCGUGACUCUUUUUGCAUGUACCUUAUGAAUAAGGACCGGCUAAUUCCGUGCCAGCAGCCGCGGUAAUACGGAAGGUCCGGGCGUUAUCCGGAUUUAUUGGGUUUAAAGGGAGCGUAGGCCGGAGAUUAAGCGUGUUGUGAAAUGUAGACGCUCAACGUCUGCACUGCAGCGCGAACUGGUUUCCUUGAGUACGCACAAAGUGGGCGGAAUUCGUGGUGUAGCGGUGAAAUGCUUAGAUAUCACGAAGAACUCCGAUUGCGAAGGCAGCUCACUGGAGCGCAACUGACGCUGAAGCUCGAAAGUGCGGGUAUCGAACAGGAUUAGAUACCCUGGUAGUCCGCACGGUAAACGAUGGAUGCCCGCUGUUGGUCUGAAUAGGUCAGCGGCCAAGCGAAAGCAUUAAGCAUCCCACCUGGGGAGUACGCCGGCAACGGUGAAACUCAAAGGAAUUGACGGGGGCCCGCACAAGCGGAGGAACAUGUGGUUUAAUUCGAUGAUACGCGAGGAACCUUACCCGGGCUUGAAUUGCAGAGGAAGGAUUUGGAGACAAUGACGCCCUUCGGGGCCUCUGUGAAGGUGCUGCAUGGUUGUCGUCAGCUCGUGCCGUGAGGUGUCGGCUUAAGUGCCAUAACGAGCGCAACCCCUCUCCUUAGUUGCCAUCAGGUUAAGCUGGGCACUCUGGGGACACUGCCACCGUAAGGUGUGAGGAAGGUGGGGAUGACGUCAAAUCAGCACGGCCCUUACGUCCGGGGCUACACACGUGUUACAAUGGCAGGUACAGAGAGAGGGUUGUACGUAAGUGCGAUCAAAUCCUUAAAGCCUGUCUCAGUUCGGACUGGGGUCUGCAACCCGACCCCACGAAGCUGGAUUCGCUAGUAAUCGCGCAUCAGCCAUGGCGCGGUGAAUACGUUCCC